GCACCAGCAGCAGGACCGGGAGGCCCAGCGUGAACCUGGUGGUGGCAGGAGGCUGCAUCUCGACCCCAAGUCUGGAGGAGACCAAGUGGAGGAGCGGAGCGGCUUCUGAACGAACUCAGAUGAGUCUCCUGGAAGACACUUUGACCUUGACAAGUAAUAGGAAACAUCAAACAUUUAAAUGAAGGCUUCCACACUUCAAGGACAAUGACCAUUUCAAGCACCAUCAUUCUUGAAACAAAAUAAGAGGAAAAUUCAAACUCUUUUAGCUUGGUAAGGGCAAGAAUCAUUAUCUUCAGACUUCUGUUUCAAUGAUACAUGCAAGCGUUCUCUGGGUUGUAACUAACAAUAAAGAAACACUUGUCCUGGAUCCCAGAGUGAUGGAAUCUACAACUUCUUUCUGGGAAGAAACUAGCAUCCCUGAUAAAACACUGAAGAUUUUCUGAAUUUAAUGGGAUUAAGACUUGCUCAAGGAUACUGGUCACCUAUCCACCCAACUGUCAGAUAAAAAAAGUCUGGAAGUCACUGAAUCCAGGGGACAGAAUGGUCGCAGACUGGUGGAGCAGAACAUGUGGGAGUUGGUGGUUUCGCAGAUAGGGACCCCAGAUCUCUGCAGUGGAUUACAGAGGCUCUUGUCCCCGGACAAUACCUUCUAGAGAGGAGACCAGGAAGAGGAAAUUUGGAUGCACACAGAGACACCAGGGCUGGACACAGAAGAAAGACCAAGUGAGGACACAGCAAGAAGGAGGCCAUCUGUAAGCCAAGGAGAGAGGUCUCAGGGGAAAACAAAGCUACUGGCACCUUGACCUUGAGCUUUGGGCCUCCACAACUGUGAGAAAAUAAAUUUCCAUUGU